GACGAACGCUGGCGGUGUGCUUAACACAUGCAAGUCGAACGGUAAGGCCCUUUCGGGGGUACACGAGUGGCGAACGGGUGAGUAACACGUGAGUAACCUGCCCUCAUCUCUGGGAUAACAGUCGGAAACGGUUGCUAAUACUGGAUAUGAGCUUGCAAGGCAUCUUGUGGGUUGGAAAGAUUUUUUUGGUUGGGGAUGGACUCGCGGCCUAUCAGCUUGUUGGUGAGGUAGUGGCUCACCAAGGCUUCGACGGGUAGCCGGCCUGAGAGGGCGACCGGCCACAUUGGGACUGAGAUACGGCCCAAACUCCUACGGGAGGCAGCAGUGGGGAAUAUUGCACAAUGGACGGAAGUCUGAUGCAGCAACGCCGCGUGCGGGAUGACGGCCUUCGGGUUGGAAACCGCGUUCAAUUGUGACGAAGCUUUUUGUGACGGUAGCAGUAGAAGAAGCACCGGCUAACUACGUG
rnacentral:rRNA from 1 species